rfam:Gossypium hirsutum cultivar TM-1 chromosome 17, whole genome shotgun sequence
AACCCAUGAUGAGGACACUUUCUCAAAAGACUCUUAUAUUUCUCCUAUGCAUCACAUAAUGUCUCUAAAUCAAUUUGAUCAAAAGAAGAGAUGUCAUUCCUCAACUU